rnacentral:rRNA from 1 species
UGGGGAAUAUUGGACAAUGGGCGAAAGCCUGAUCCAGCCAUGCCGCGUGUGUGAAGAAGGUCUUCGGAUUGUAAAGCACUUUAAGUUGGGAGGAAGGGCAGUAAGCGAAUACCUUGCUGUUUUGACGUUACCGACAGAAUAAGCACCGGCUAACUCUGUGCCAGCAGCCGCGGUAAUACAGAGGGUGCAAGCGUUAAUCGGAAUUACUGGGCGUAAAGCGCGCGUAGGUGGUUCGUUAAGUUGAAUGUGAAAGCCCCGGGCUCAACCUGGGAACUGCAUCCAAAACUGGCGAGCUAGAGUAGGGCAGAGGGUGGUGGAAUUUCCUGUGUAGCGUGAAAUGCGUAGAUAUAGGAAGGAACACCAGUGGCGAAGGCGACCACCUGGGCUCAUACUGACACUGAGGUGCGAAAGCGUGGGGAGCAAACAGG